CCUGGUUCUGAUCUUGUGUUUAGGAGAGGCUUGAGUGGUGCAGAGACCGUGCUGAGGUGGUGGUGGUGCUGAAGAGAUCAGGACCAGACCUGUUGUCCCCUUGUAGCUUCCCUCUGCCAGGAACCGAUGGGAGAUGUUGCAGGAAUGUGCGAACAGGAACACCCACGUUCAUAAAGGAGCUCAAGCACCACCAAAUAAAACCAUCAGCCUUGCAAGAAGAUGGGAGUUGCCAAACCCUGACCUCAUUUAGCGGCCUCAUCUGAGAGACUCCAGUGACAAGAUUAUUUUAAGGAAAGGGAUCCACAUGGCUCUGCCAGCCCUCCUUGUUCGGGGCAGAAUGAACGGGUUGCGAGGCUUGCUGGCGUUCGAGCCAUGUCCUGGCCCUUGCUGUUUCCUCUGGAGGAAGAUGAGCACAGCAGAGGAGGAACAAACUUCACCAGUCAAGGGGGCUUGCACAGGGACAGCAUGUUUCAGUGCUUUAGCAGAAAGGCAGUGGCACUUGGUUGGAAACUUAAUCUACCAUUGUAUUGUUGGUCCAGUGCUGAGUAUUCUCCUCGAAGCUCCUGACAGGUGCUGCAGGAGCCAGGUUCUGUAUUUCAGCAGCAAACAGGAAAGGAUCAUGCCCUGAGAUAAGACUGUGUGCUAUCCCGCAUCAGUCCUGAGGUGCAAAUAAAGUGCUACAGGCAACUGCUGGCCUUUAUCAACAACCUUCACCCCGUAGCUUUUCAUUGCCUCGUAAAACAAACUGCUCCUCGCUGCAGGAGUCCAGACAUCUGUCUUCAUGGUCAUGAAGCUUUCAUUUCUCGGAGCUGGUGGCAGCAAGCGCUGGUGAUGCGCAUUCAGGUGUGGUACCUACUUGCUGCUCACAGUGCUGAAGUUUCCAUCUCUCCCUCCUGUUCAAAGGGGAAAAAAGAAAUGUGAGCCUUAAAGCUGUCCUUAUUCAAGUUCCCAGCUCUUGCAGCCAAAAAAAGAAUGGGUGAAAGUAGGGGAAGGGAGGGGGGAGCUCAAGAAAGCUGUCCCAGGCUUCAUACUUCUGGAGUUAGAGGGAUAAAUUAAAAAAUAAUAACCCUGCUUUUACUGGGAUGUGAUUUACCCAUGUGGAAAGUAACCGAUCCGCAGGCUCCGCCGGCAGCCCCGUAACUGCCAGGGCCACAGGAAUCUGCUCGUGUUCCCUGGAAUUUGGACAUUUUUUGUUGCACCCAUUUCGGGUUGCUUUCCAGAUUGUCACUCAAGCGCAGGGCACGCCCCCUCCAGGAGGCUAUUUAAAGAGAAGCUGAUGUGCAACUUUCUCCAAAGAGAGACGAGAAACUCCGAAGGAGAAGGGAGUGAGAGUGAGCGAGUCAGCCGGCAGCCCGAACCCCCUCCCUUGACUCGGGAUGUCCGGCAGCGUGGGGACGGUGACCUGGACCCUGUUCCUCCUCCUCCUCGCACCUGGCUGGGUACGUAUCGCCCUGCAGCCGCUCCGUUUGCUCUCUGGGCAUUGCAGCUUCUUGCUUCGAUGCGUGUGAGCACUUCAUGCUGAGUACCCCUCUGCAGCUGCCACCUGCCUCCGGAGCUUUCCCGGAGCGUGGCUGUGCAAACGCGCAGCACAAAUCAUCGCUCUCAGGGCUGCCCUGUGCGUAACGCC
rnacentral:lncRNA from 1 species